UGCGGCCAGAAACUGCACAGGGCAUAUUUGUUAACUUCAAAGACUUGUACUAUUACAAUGGGAACAAGCUUCCUUUUGCUGCUGCUCAAAUUGGCCAGGCUUUCAGAAGUGAGAUAUAUGAACUGGGUUGGAACUGGGACAAUUUAGAACUUUUAGCACAGGGCAGAAACUUCAUGUUAUGAUAAAUGGCAGUGUAAGUAACAUCUCAUUCAAUGGAAGUCUUAAAGGCAGUGCUAAUAUAACAAUAAAACUUUUUCUAUAAGCCCUGCUAAUUUAAAAUUGUAUU